GAUGGCGACCAGCGCACGGGUGAGUAACACGUAUCCAACCUGCCGAUGACUCGGGGAUAGCCUUUCGAAAGAAAGAUUAAUACCCGAUGGCAUAGUUCUUCCGCAUGGUAGAACUAUUAAAGGAUUUCGGUCAUCGAUGGGGAUGCGUUCCAUUAGGUUGUUGGCGGGGUAACGGCCCACCAAGCCUUCGAUGGAUAGGGGUUCUGAGAGGAAGGUCCCCCACAUUGGAACUGAGACACGGUCCAAACUCCUACGGGAGGCAGCAUG
rnacentral:rRNA from 1 species